rnacentral:rRNA from 1 species
CACGUAGGGUGCGAGCGUUGUCCGGAAUUAUUGGGCGUAAAGAGCUCGUAGGCGGUGUGUCGCGUCGGCCGUGAAAACCUGCAGCUUAACUGUGGGCUUGCGGUCGAUACGGGCAUCACUGGAGUUCGGCAGGGGAGACUGGAAUUCCUGGUGUAGCGGUGAAAUGCGCAGAUAUCAGGAAGAACACCUAUGGCGAAGGCAGCACUCUGGGACGGUACUGACGCUGAGACGCGAAAGCGUGGGGAGCGAACAGG